CUAAGCCAUGCGAGUCGAGAGGGUUCGGCCCUCGGCAGACCGCUCAGUAACACGUGGAGAACUUGCCCUAUGCUGGGGGAUAACCUCGGGAAACUGAGAAUAAUACCCCAUAGUCCACCCCUCCUGGAACGGUGGGUGGAUGAAAGCUCCGGCGGCAUAGGAUAGCUCUGCGGCCUAUCAGGUUGUAGGGAGGGUAACGUCCUCCCUAGCCUUUGACGGGUACGGGUGUUGGGAGACAUCGCCCGGAGAUGAUCUCUGAGACACGAGAUCAGGCCCUACGGGGCGCAGCAGGCGCGAAAACUGCACAAUGUGGGAAACCACGAUGCGGGCAACCCAAGUGUCUGCGCUAAGCGUAGACUGUCCUCAAGCGUACAUGGCUUGGGAAGAAAGUGCUGGGAAAGACGGGUGCCAGCCGCCGCGGUAAUACCCGCAGCACAAGUGGUGGUCUUUAUUACUGGGCCUAAAGCGUCCGUAGCCGGUCUGGUAAAUGCUUGGGUAAAUCGAUGCGCUUAACGUAUCGAACUCCGGGCAGACUGCCAGACUCGAGACCGGGAGAGGUGUAGGGUACUCGGGGGGUAGGGGUAAAAUCCUGUAAUCCUCCGGGGACGACCAGUGGCGAAGGCGCUACACUGGAACGGCUCUGACGGUGAGGGACGAAGCCCUGGGGCGCAAACCGGAUUAGAUACCCGGGUAGUCCAGGGUGUAAACGCUGCUGACUUGGUGUCGGCGAUCCUACGAGGGUCAUCGGUGCCGUAGAGAAGUCGUUGAGUCAGCCGCCUGGGGAGUACGGUCGCAAGACUGAAACUUAAAGGAAUUGGCGGGGGAGCACCGCAACGCGUGGAGUGUGCGGUUUAAUUGGAUUCAACGCCGGAAAACUCACCAGGGGAGACUGCCGAAUGUGACUCACUCUAAAGGGGUUUGUCGAAUAUAGGUAGAGAGGAGGUGCAUGGCC
rnacentral:rRNA from 1 species